rnacentral:lncRNA from 1 species
GAACAAUCAUGAGGAAACCAUGUGCACUACUGCCACUACUAAGUUUUUUUUAAUUAUUAUUAUUUAUUUAUUUUUAAUGAGGCAGGUAGUGAACUCAGGGUGAAGAUUCACAGCUGAGUGAUUUUUUUUUUUUUGGUAGUUCAGCAUCCACUAUACUAUUAUUUCUAAGGGCCUACAUCUACAACUCAUCUCAUUGUCUGUUGGACUCCUCCAGAGAAAAAUGAAUAUACUUAAACAGGUCUUGAAAUCACAGAAUUCUUCUGAAAUUGUCUUCAAAGUAUGUUCCUCUGCAAAUAGGGCAGGAGUGACAGUAGACUCUUAGUAGCUACAGCACUCACUCAUGGCUGUAGGUACCUACUUUCCCUAAGGACUUCCCAGUCAGCUGGCCACUGUCAGCUCUUAGCAUCUUUGCAGCUGUGCUAAUUUGUGUUAGGUUUCAAUAUUUACUGUGUCUGAGUGAGAAAUAGAAAGCACAUGACUUUCCCUGCAAAUAGGUACUUGCAUGGAAUGUAAAACUCUAUGCUCUGAGGUUGUGUAUACAUUUUGUAUUCUAUACUUGCUAGACAAAGAUACAGCGUGUAAUUAGUCCUUGAUAUAGACUCAGGAUUUGGGCUUUCCUCCAAAUUUUUAAAGCAUUGGGGUAAAAUUUAUAUUUUCUGGAACAAAAUACUUUCCAGAAUUUGAAAUCACUUCUUCGAUAAAAGUCCUACUCUAAGAGAAAAAUGGGAGAAUAGUUUCCUGCGUCUCUCUUGGUUCCCAAAUCUCUGCAGUUCACAGCAGCUAGAUGAAAGCCUGGGAAGGGAAAGAUCUGAAAAAAAAAAAAAGACAUCUGAGCCUUGAAACUGUACUCAAUGAGAAACUCGUCUUGCCAAAGGAAGCUCUCUUCUCACGUAUCUCUCUCCAAAUCUGGCCAGAUCCCUGUCUGGUAGCACAUCAGCUGCAACAGGUGCUGAACAUAUCAGAAGGCUUGGGACUCACUUUCCAUCUAAGAGUAAAAAGACUUUUUAACCGCUUUUUAUUUUAUGGAUAAUCUUACGAUGAUUCCUCAAAGCUAUUUCCCCAAAG